rnacentral:rRNA from 1 species
GAUGAACGCUGACAGCAUGCUUAACACAUGCAAGUCAACUUGAAUUUGGGUUUUUAACUUGGGUUUGGGUGGCGGACGGGUGAGUAACGCGUAAAGAACUUGCCUCCCAGCUAGGGACAACAUUUGGAAACGAAUGCUAUUACCUAAUAUUAUGAUAAUAGGUCAUCCUAUAAUUAUGAAAGCUAUAAGCGCUGUGGGAUAGAUUUGCGUCCCAUUAGCUAGUUGGUGGGGUAACGGCUUACCAAGGCGUUGAUGGGUAGCCGGCCUGAGAGGGUGAUCGGCCACAUAGGGACUGAGAUACGGGCCAGACUCCUACGGGAGGCAGCAGUGGGGAAUAUUGGAAAAUGGGCGGAAGACUGAUGCAGCAACGUUGCGUGCGGGAUAACGGCCUUCGGGUUGUAAAAAGCUUUCGCCGGUGACGAAGCGUGAGUGACGGUAAUGGGUAAAGAAGAAACGGCUAACUACGUG